rnacentral:rRNA from 1 species
GAGAUCGAGAGAUGGAGCAAAUCCCAAAAAUAAACGUCCCAGUUCGGACUGUAGUCUGCAACCCGACUACACGAAGCUGGAAUCGCUAGUAAUCGCGGAUCAGAAUGCCGCGGUGAAUACGUUCCCGGGUCUUGUACACACCGCCCGUCACACCAUGGGAGUCAGUAACGCCCGAAGUCAGUGACCUAACCGAAAGGGAGGAGCUGCCGAAGGCGGGACGGAUGACUGGGGUGAAGUCGUAACAAGGUAAC